AACACGCUACAGAACUUGGCCUUAGUAACUAUUCAAAAUGACCAUUUUUAUAGACUUAAUAGAAAAAUACUAUUGCUGUGGGAAGAAGGAUACAACCAUUUGCAGUAAGUGUUCAUGCAGCAGGCUUUCCAUCACUGAAUAGGAUGGAUAGCUUGUUCGGAUAUACCAUAGCUAUCAGAAGGACUAUGUCAUCGUGCUAUCAGAGGGAUAGAAGUUCCCUAGCAUCUGUAGUAGCAGUUUUUCAAAAGUUCUGUUCUGAGUCAUUUCUUCAGACUGACAGAGCAGAAAAGCUUAACUGCCUUGGGUCCAUUUUCAGGUUAGCUUUAGCCUUUUCGUAGGAGACAGUAGGAAGCAAAGGUGAGCGUGGAUAGCAUUUCAGAGUUGAAAUGGUGUAGCUGAUUGUCUUUUAUNNNNNNNNNNCAAAACGCACUGGAAGCAAACAGUUUUUCUCCUGGAGAAACCAAUUCCUGUAGAAGCAGGUAUGUUUAAAUUCAGUUGUGGUGCAACAAUGGUUGUGUUACACUGCUAUUAUCAUUUACAUGUAAAACAGUUCAAGAAUUAUGUGUUAAAAAGAACUAGUAAAUAAAUCUUUCAGCUGCUGUUUAAAAACUUUCUUGGCUUAAGCAAUGCAGUAGGAAAUAUAUAUCUGUGUUCUGUAAAAUCAACAUUAAAAAUGUAUAUAUAUAUGUGUUUGCACAUAUAUAUUUAAGUGGGCAUAUNNNNNNNNNNUGUGUUUGGUAAUUGAUUGAUGUAUUGUGGUAUUAAAAAUGGUGUUCUUUAAUGAAAGUCUUGAACUCUUCCAUUGCAGGUCUUGUUUUCAACUGGUCCCUGGUGUACCAAAACGCACUGGAAGCAAACAGUUUUUCUCCUGGAGAAACCAAUUCCUGUAGAAGCAGGGGAGGCCCUGAGAGGAACGAUAACAGUUCGCAAAAACAGAAAAGAUCCGCGAUCCCUCUUUAUAACCCUUUCGGUGAAGGACACAAAGCAGACCUACAGCCUUCAGUGAAAGUUCUACAUAUAGCUUUGAGAAAUGUCAGAUAUAACUGUCAGAUUGAACAGUUGAUAACUGUUUCUAAAUAUCCAAAAAUGUGGCAUAUGGCGACUGGUGACACAGUGAGAUUCUGCUGUGUCUCACACGAUGUGGGGGAAGGAAGGAAAAGCUGGAUUUGAGUUAGAUGAGACUGCUGGGUGAGAAAAAUGCCUUUAAAGUCUUGCUGUGAGGAACA
rnacentral:lncRNA from 1 species